AAGAUAAAUUCUUAUAACACAGAGAUUUAUCGAAACCUCAAAUGGAUGGUUUUAGGAUAUUGCACAAAUAUUGAGCUCGCAGGCGUUUUUUAUUAUACGUUAUCUGCAAGCCUUCGAUAUGUGCUUU
rnacentral:sRNA from 1 species